rnacentral:rRNA from 1 species
UACGUAGGGGGCAAGCGUUGUCCGGAUUUAUUGGGCGUAAAGAGCGUGUAGGCGGUUUGGUAGGUCCGCUGUGAAAACUCGAGGCUCAACCUCGAGACGCCGGUGGAAACCAUCAGACUAGAGUCCGGAAGAGGAGAGUGGAAUUCCUGGUGUAGCGGUGAAAUGCGUAGAUAUCGGAAGGAACACCUGUGGCGAAAGCGGCUCACUGGACCACAACUGACGCUGAGGCACGAAAGCUAGGGGAGCAAACAGG